UUGUGGUGUAGUUGGGCAGUUGUAGCUCUGAUUCAACCCCUAGCCUGGGAACCUCCAUAUUGCCACAGGUGCAGCCCUAAAAAGACAAAAAAAAAUUUUUUUUUUUGAAAAACAAACAAUUUACAGUUCAAAACUGUUGACAAAUAAAACUCAACUCUUCAGAGUUCUAAAAAUGUACCAAAUGAUCUGUUAAGUAUUCUGCUUUCUACAUUUCAGUGUAUACUAGUUUUUUUAAAAGUAGAGCCUCUGGUAAGUGUGGUGUAUGUAUCUCUGUGUGGGUAUAGAAAUGAAAAGGGUGACUGUGAUUUUAAUGAAUGUCUUUUUUCUUCACUUGAUCAGAUUUUUGUUUUUGUUUUAAAGAUCCUAAGGAAAUAAUCUAGCUUUUUUGGUAGGCAUUUUUGUCCUAAAGUAAAUGUUUUAUUUAUUUAUUUACUGCUGCAUCCAUGGCAUAUGAAGUUCCCAGGCCAAGGAUUGAAUCCUAGCCAUAGCUGCAACCAGUACCAUAGCUGCAGCAACACCGGAUCCUUAACCCACUGCACCUGGCUGGGGAUCAAACCCACACUGCCACAGAGACCAUGCUGGAUCCUUAAGCUGCUGAGCCACAGAGGGAAUUCCUAUUAUUAUGAACCAGAUUGUUGAGAAUGUGAAGGGUAUGUUUGGAUCCAUCUUACGUCUUACAAAUAGUUAAUGAGCCCCUGUGUUUUGCCAGCCACAGUUAAAACAUCUGUGUUUUAACAGUGACCUUGAAACCUCUGGAAGGCUUCUUCAGAAAAGCUAGAAGCAUAUUCCUGAAGAUCUAAGAGGGUCCCCUCCAUCCAUAAGAUAAGCACUGGAAGUGCUGUGUGGAGUCCAGAGGUGAAGUGCAGCUCCUGUCUGCUACAUGAAGCCAGUGAGAUUCUCAAAGAAAUCAUCAAGAACAGUGACUUCCAAGCCUACUUUUGUCUAUCUCCCCUUUGGGCCCCUAUCUCUUUCGCCCAUAUUUUAUCUCUUUCUUCUUGUGUCUCCUCUAUUGAUUAAUGCUGUGCUAUCAUUUGAAGGAAGGUCAUGGUUCAUAAAAUAGGGGUUUUCUAUAAAGUUAACAAAGAUUCAAACCAAAAUAAAAGAAGUUUUGGGA